UGCCCAGCAACUCCUAUCCCUACCUCCACGCGGUACCGACCGGAAACUAUGAGCAACCUUAAGAUCGGGUAACCAACCCCGGUGGGAACUUUGAACUUUUGCUGACAGGUAAGG
rnacentral:ribozyme from 1 species